UACGGAGGGAGCUAGCGUUGUUCGGAAUUACUGGGCGUAAAGCGCACGUAGGCGGUUACUCAAGUCAGAGGUGAAAGCCCGGGGCUCAACCCCGGAACUGCCUUUGAAACUAGGUAACUAGAAUCCUGGAGAGGUGAGUGGAAUUCCGAGUGUAGAGGUGAAAUUCGUAGAUAUUCGGAAGAACACCAGUGGCGAAGGCGGCUCACUGGACAGGUAUUGACGCUGAGGUGCGAAAGCGUGGGGAGCAAACAGG
rnacentral:rRNA from 1 species